UACGUAGGGUGCAAGCGUUGUCCGGAAUUAUUGGGCGUAAAGAGCUCGUAGGCGGUUUGUCGCGUCUGCUGUGAAAUCUGGGGGCUCAACCCCAGCCUGCAGUGGGUACGGGCAGACUAGAGUGCGGUAGGGGAGAUUGGAAUUCCUGGUGUAGCGGUGGAAUGCGCAGAUAUCAGGAGGAACACCGGUGGCGAAGGCGGAUCUCUGGGCCAUUACUGACGCUGAGGAGCGAAAGCGUGGGAGCGAACAGG
rnacentral:rRNA from 1 species